rnacentral:rRNA from 1 species
GUCNUGGGCUUAGGGGUGCGUAGGCGGGUGUGCAAGUGCGUUGUGAAAUCCCACGGCUCAACCGUGGAACUGCGAUGCAAACUGCACGUCUUGAGGUCGACAGGGGCUGCCGGAACUCUAGGUGUAGCGGUGAAAUGCGUAGAUAUCUAGAGGAACGCCAAAGGUGAAGACAGGCAGCUGGGUCGAAUCUGACGCUGAGGCACGAAAGCGUGGGUAGCGAACGGGAUUAGAUACCCCGGUAGUCCACGCCCUAAACGAUGUGCACUGGAUCGUGGAGGUUUUGACGCCAUCACGGUCGCAGCAAAAGUGUUAAGUGCACCGCCUGGGGAGUACGGUCGCAAGAUUAAAACUCAAAGGAAUUGACGGGGGCUCACACAAGCGGUGGAGCAUGUGGCUUAAUUCGAAGCAACGCGAAGAACCUUAUCCUGGGUUUGACAUGUACGGAUUAACUCCUGGAAACAGGAGCCACGCCCUUUGGGUGGAACGUACACAGGUGCUGCAUGGCUGUCGUCAGCUCGUGCUGUGAAGUGUCGGGUUAAGUCCCUUAACGAGCGAAACCCCUAUCACUAGUUGCCAGCGAGUCAAGUCGGGGACUCUAGUGAGACUGCCGGUGUCAAACCGGAGGAAGGUGGGGAUGACGUCAAGUCCUCAUGGCCUUUAUGCCCAGGGCUGCACACGUGCUACAAUGGUGCCUACAGAGCGACGCGAGACCGCAAGGUGGAGCAAAUCGCAAAAAGGGUGCCUCANUUCGGAUUGUGGUCUGCAAUUCGACCACAUGAAGUUGGAAUCGCUAGUAAUCGCGUAUCANCUACGACGCGGUGAAUAAGUUCCUGANCCUUGUACACACCGCCCGUCAAGUCAUGGAAANCCGGUAGUACCCGAAGCC